rnacentral:tRNA from 1 species
GGGUCUGAUCCAUGCAGGAAAUCCUGACCGAUAAUCAAGAUAUAAAGGUUAAAUUCCUUUCAUGCCCU